AAACCACCGACAGACACACAGGAAACACGAGGCGGGAUGUCACGACGGGAUCACUUGGCUGGAGAAAAAGAAGGUCAGCCUGGUGUAAUUAAUAACCAGGUGGAAGAGAGGAGAGGAGGGAAGAGAAAAUGAGAGACGGAGGAGAGACGGAGGAGAGACAGCGGAGAGACAGCG